rnacentral:rRNA from 1 species
AUUGAACGCUGGCGGCAGGCCUAACACAUGCAAGUCGAGCGGAUGAAGGGAGCUUGCUCCUGGAUUCAGCGGCGGACGGGUGAGUAAUGCCUAGGAAUCUGCCUGGUAGUGGGGGAUAACGUCCGGAAACGGGCGCUAAUACCGCAUACGUCCUGAGGGAGAAAGUGGGGGAUCUUCGGACCUCACGCUAUCAGAUGAGCCUAGGUCGGAUUAGCUAGUUGGUGGGGUAAAGGCCUACCAAGGCGACGAUCCGUAACUGGUAUGAGAGGAUGAUCAGUCAGACGGGAACUGAGACACGGUCCAGACUCCUACGGGAGGAAGCAGUGGGGAAUAUUGGACAAUGGGCGAAAGCCUGAUCCAGCAAUGCCGCGUGUGUGAAGAAGGUCUUAGGAUGGUAAAGCACUUUAAGUUGGGAGGAAGGGCAGUAAGUUAAUACCUUGCUGUUUUGACGUUACCAACAGAAUAAGCACCGGCUAACUUCGUG